AUUGAACGCUGGCGGCAUGCCUAACACAUGCAAGUCGAACGGCAGCACAGCCGUAGCAAUACGGUGGGUGGCGUGUGGCGGACGGGCGAGGAAUGCAUCGGAAUCUGCCCGGGCGUGGGGGAGAACGCAUCGAAAGGUGCGCUAAUACCGCAUGAUAUCGACCGAUGAAAGCGGGGGACCGCAAGGCCUCGCGCGAUCGGAUGAGCCGAUGCCGGAUUAGCUAGUUGGCGGGGUAAAGGCCCACCAAGGCGACGAUCCGUAGCUGGUCUGAGAGGAUGAUCAGCCACACUGGGACUGAGACACGGCCCAGACUCCUACGGGAGGCAGCAGUGGGGAAUAUUGGACAAUGGGCGCAAGCCUGAUCAAGCAAUGCCGCGUGUGUGAAGAAGGCCUUCGGGUUGUAAAGCACUUUUAUCGGGAGCGAAAAGCGGACGGUGAAUACCCGUCCGUGCUGACGGUACCCGAGGAAUAAGCACCGGCUAACUUCGUGCCAGCCGCCGCCGUAACAC
rnacentral:rRNA from 1 species